UGGACGGAGAAUUGAUAAGGGC
rnacentral:miRNA from 1 species